rfam:Dictyocaulus viviparus strain HannoverDv2000 D_viviparus-1.0_Cont2.43, whole genome shotgun sequence.
CGGCACGUCAAAGUGGUGGGUGAUUUGUCGUCUUGCUCAUAUCACAGCCAGCUUUGAUGUGCUGUA